AUGGGAACUAUCUGGAAUACAGGAUUGAGCGAUCUAGCAGAUACUUAUGAACUUCUGAAGCUCGGUUGUUCAGAUUAUCAUGGAUGGGAUGAUAAGGAAGCGCCUGAUAUAGUCCGCCAUGACAUGAAUGCACCAUUGUCCCACUAUUUCGUUACACCGCAGUACUCAUAUUUUACUAGCAAUCAGCUAAUCAGUGACUGCAGUGACGUUCCCAUCAUCAUGGCUCUGCAAAUAGGUGUCCGUGUAAUUAAAUUAGACAUGGUGCUAAAUUCUUCUAAAGAUGAUACUGAUAUUCUCCAUCGAAGUACUGAAUAUGACUUCCAUGGAUAG
rnacentral:rRNA from 1 species